ACCAACCUCCCAGCUUUUCCCGCCCCUCAAGUACCCGGGCCCUUCUGCUGAGCCUCACAGUCUAGGGCGUGUGAAGGGUUUAAACAGGGAGACUCUCCUCCCAUUUCCCAAAGACGUCUCAGAGAGGCUGUGCAGCUGCUGGAGGACUAUAAGCAUGGGACCCUGCGCCCGGGGGUCACCAAUGAACAGCUCUGGAGUGCACAGAAAAUCAAGCAGGCUAUUCUACAUCCGGACACCAAUGAGAAGAUCUUCAUGCCAUUUAGAAUGUCAGGUUACAUUCCUUUUGGGACGCCAAUUGUAGUCGGUCUUCUCUUGCCCAACCAGACACUGGCAUCCACUGUCUUCUGGCAGUGGCUGAACCAGAGCCACAAUGCCUGUGUCAACUAUGCAAACCGCAAUGCAACCAAGCCUUCACCUGCAUCCAAGUUCAUCCAGGGCUACCUGGGAGCUGUCAUCAGCGCCGUCUCCAUUGCUGUGGGCCUUAAUGUCCUGGUUCAGAAAGCCAACAAGUUCACCCCAGCCACCCGCCUU
rnacentral:sRNA from 1 species